rnacentral:rRNA from 1 species
GAUGAACGCUAGCGGCAGGCCUAACACAUGCAAGUCGAGGGGCAGCAUAUCCAGCUUGCUGGAUGAUGGCGACCGGCGCACGGGUGCGCAACGCGUAUGGAACCUGCCCUUUACAGGGGAAUAGCCUUUGGAAACGGAGAUUAAUGCCCCAUGGCACCUUCCGAUGCAUAUCGGGAAGGUUAAAGGCUUCGGCCGGUAAGGGAUGGCCAUGCGUACCAUUAGCUUGUUGGUAAGGUAACGGCUUACCAAGGCGACGAUGGUUAGGGGCCCUGAGAGGGGA